GCAAUGGUGGUUCAGUGGUAGAAUUCUCGCCUUCCAUGCAGGAGACCCAGGUUUGGUUCCUGGCCAAUGUC
rnacentral:tRNA from 1 species